AAAUUUAUUAUGUUCACUAUUCUUGAGUGCAGACAAUUAGAAUGAUUUCUGAAAGAUCAUACUGCGUAUUGAUGCUUUUUUUUUUAAGAAAAUACUUCCUAUACUACACAACUAUUAGCUAAUAUAUUUUUCAAAAGCGUAUUAAAUGCUAAAUAAAUAACAAUAUCCAUAGUUUUCAUUUUUAAAUUUAGGAUUUUAUUAAACGAAUUUUAUUUCCGUAUUUAUUAGUCUAGGUGAAAGCAACGUCCCUAUUUUUCCAGACCAACGAACAGAUUUCACCUCACCUGUUUAACUCCCAGUCAGGCCCCGCUGAACAGGGGCCACAAAAGACACACAGGAUCUAAGACUUGAAUUAUUGAUCACUGGCUGAGUGGGGAAGAAACCUGGGGCUGCUCAAUCCUGGUGACAGACAAUAAAUCCGAAUACCCCAUGGAAAGAUGAAAGGAGUGAGGGAUUAAGUUAGAGCAGAGAGGAAGAGGAGCAUGACAGGGAGGGAGUAAGGUUGGGUUGAUCAGUCUAUGAGCUGCAGACACACUCUUACCAUACACAGGGGAAAUGGGUCCUCAGCUACACUUCAGCAGCACCUACUCAGAGGAGUUCAGUUACCCGGCUCGGGUCAAACCCACCCGGCCCAGACCGUCCUCUGCAUAUCGCAGGAACAAUCCUCAUCCACAACCGCAACUGGGAUAAGAUGCAAUAUUGAGCCUGGAGAGCGUUGUAGCUGCUUGAUUCUGCAAAACAACCUACUUGUGGGGGGCCUUGUACAGGAGGCUCUGGUUACACUGUUUCCAAACCACUGAAUAGGGAUCGAAGGACUUUCUGAUGCCAAGAAUGCUGCAGACAGGAUACGGCUCACGGAAAUACUUUCAGACAACUACUCCUUCUACCACUUUUCUACCUCCAGUCAGACACAUGUCAGUCCAGUAUCCAGAUGCACAAACAGCACAUGGACAGUCAAUGCAGAGCUCAUCACAAAGAGAUUACAAAGCACCUGUGGUCUCGUCUGCAGUUUGUACACUGCCACCUGCUGCCUGCUUUCUCAAACCACAACCAAACAACUUUGCUCAUGCAACAAUCUCAAACACACAAGGGAAAUAUUCAGAAACAGAUCAUAUCAGAUCAGCUUGGAACCAGCAGAUGGAGAUCAUGCCAUCUUUAAAAGCCUUCAAACACCAGGGUACCCAUCAUCAAAGAUCGCGCUCAAAAUCCACUACUGAUUGCAGUGAAGGAAACAGCUGUUUCUAUGUGGUGAAGCCAUAUAAAGUCGGACACUACAUCAUCCACCCAGAGUUUGUGUCAGAAGCAAAGCACUACUAAAAGCCACAUUGUUUGGGCAUUUUAUAUCUAUUUUUUUUUCCCAUUUAUUGUCAGUUUAUAAAUGUCAUUUUACAGUGUAUUAUUGAGGUACGUUAUGUGUUUGGAGAUCCUGCCUUGAGAUCUAAAUGUGCAUUACAUGACAAAUAAACAACGUUUAUGAUGUGCCUGUUAAAUGUUUGUUAUUUUGUCUUACAAACAUCACCAUGGGAACCAGUAGGCUAAGUACAAC
ensembl:lncRNA